GAUGAACGCUGGCGGCGUGCCUAAUACAUGCAAGUCGAGCGAACGGACGAGAAGCUUGCUUCUCUGAUGUUAGCGGCGGAAGGGUGAGUAACACGUGGAUAACCUACCUAUAAGACUGGGAUAACUUCGGGAAACCGUAGCUAAUACCGGAUAAUAUUUUGAACCGCAUGGUUCAAAAGUGAAAGACGGUCUUGCUGUCACUUAUAGAUGGAUCCGCGCUGCAUUAGCUAGUUGGUAAGGUAACGGCUUACCAAGGCAACGAUGCAUAGCCGACCUGAGAGGGUGAUCGGCCACACUGGAACUGAGACACGGUCCAGACUCCUACGGGAGGCAGCAGUAGGGAAUCUUCCGCAAUGGGCGAAAGCCUGACGGAGCAACGCCGCGUGAGUGAUGAAGGUCUUCGGAUCGUAAAACUCUGUUAUUAGGGAAGAACAUAUUUGUAAGUAACUGUGCACAUCUUGACGGUACCUAAUCAGAAAGCCACGGCUAACUACGUG
rnacentral:rRNA from 1 species